GAGUUAUUAGAGAACAGCCCAAUUCUCACAGUCGCGGCCUCACGACAACUCUCAUUUAGGUGAGUCCUCCAAGAAUACAUGUAACCUGUAUCCUGCAGGAGUAUGCCUGCCUCGGGCUCAUUCAGGGUAACACCCUUCCUUAACGUCACAUAUCAAAGCACUAUUGCCAUAGGGAUGAGCAGGAGACUCUCUCCUUAAAAGUAGUGCUAAAAUGAGUCACGCAAUAUGGAUUGUUUCUAUCCAUUGAACCUUCUUCAUGGGAUCUCCAAUCACAAAGGUUGGAUUACCUCCCUAGGUGACUCCCUUAUGGGCUUAAGCCCAUCCUCCUCGACAAGUCAAUGAUAGCUAUCUUAGAAAGAGCUUUGGUCAGCUGAUCAGCUAUAUUUUUCUCAGAUUUUACAAAUUCCAAAGACACAAUAUUCUUAUUCAAUAGGCUUUUAACUGAUUUAUACCUCACUUGCAAAUGCCUAUUCAUU
rnacentral:lncRNA from 1 species